CUCCCAGCAACUCCUAUUCCUACCUCCUCGUGGUACUGGCCGGGGUACGAGUAGUCUUAGAUCGAGUAAUCAACCCCGAUGGAAACUCUGGUCGUAUGUUGACAGGGAAGA
rnacentral:ribozyme from 1 species